UUUUGAAAGCUCUUCGGAGCGUUGUAGAUUGGUGGGAAGCUAACGGCUGGUGGGAGACCAAGUCCUCUGGAACGAGGCGCCAUAGAGGGUGAGAGCCCCGUGUGUCUCCUUUACCGACCUUUCAGCCCCCUCCGCGGAGUCGAGUUGUUUGGGAAUGCAGCUCUAAGUGGGUGGUAAAUUCCAUCUAAGGCUAAAUAUUGGCGAGAGACCGAUAGCGAACAAGUACAGUGAUGGAAAGAUGAAAAGCACUUUGAAAAGAGAGUGAAACAGUACGUGAAAUUGUUGAAAGGGAAGGGUAUUUGGCCCGACAUGGGUCCUAUGCACCGUUGCCUCUCGUGGGCGGCGCUCUGCUUGGGCCUGGGCCAGCGUCAGUUUGGAGGGGGCGA
rnacentral:rRNA from 1 species